UUAACGGUUUGUACAUGCGCAAUGGAACUUCAAGAUCAAACGGUCUAUAACAUUGUUAUGCGUUGUCUCUGCAUUAGAGUCUGACACAUAAUAUAGUCUUUCCUUGUUGCAGAGUAACGACAAAUAUUGUCAAAGAUUACGUGCACCUUGUAGAGUGACAGUGAUACCAAAGUGAGUAGCUGCCUAGAAACGGGACACUCAAUUUCAGUUUUUGCGCUCUCGUGUUGUUUUGCUGUUGUUUUGCACUCGUAGCUUCUCGAUGCAGACUCGACCUCGUUGAUUACACCCAAAAUCACUAGUUGAUUGAGUGCAUCAUGAAACAUCCACCAUCUUCAUGCACAUAAGAAGUAGACGACAGAUUAUGUAGGUACUAAUAAGGAAAGAGUCGAUCUAAUAAGUGUUCUACACGUGUAAGGGGAUUUCCCGAGGAGACAAAUAAGUCGAAAGCUUGCUACUAUCCGUGGGGCAUUACAGAACUAUUCCAGAUUGAUAACCACAUGACAUACGAAUUCAGUGUCUGGAUACUGAGUACAGACAAGGAUCUUAACAACUUUCAUGGCUUUCGAGCGUUUGAUUGGGCAUUCAAUCCCCUUAUGGUCGGCAACACACACAAACUCUACUUCAAGAGAUACGAAAACGACCCGAAGAAGUGGACUCAAUGGAAUGGAUUUGUACUCCCAGCCAUGGGUAAUACCACUGUUCCCUCUUAUUACGCUAACGGCGGCAGCUUUAGGUGGCCAUCUGGUACCACGUUUGCUCAGCUGAGGUUCGGCACUUGCUAUGGCGAUGGAAAAAACGCAGGAAAGACUUACUUUGCCUACUCUCGGGUCGCGCAAUUCAAUCUACAGCCAUAGACAGGAACAGUCAGACGUCCAUCAUGUGCUCUUGUCUUCCUAAAGUAGCAGUAAACGCCUUGACCGUUUCGUUGUGUUUGUAGUCUCUGCCAUGAUGGAACAGUAGCUGGCACGUUUAGCAUUUGUAGCACGUGCCAUGACUUUGAUUUUAGUCCUCUGCAACAGCACACGUAGUUUUAGCAUUGCACAUGUAUACCUAUAGCUUGUUUGCUAUAAAAUCAAAGACUUCAUUCUAA